rnacentral:rRNA from 1 species
GACGAACGCUGGCGGCGUGCUUAACACAUGCAAGUCGAACGGUAAGGCCCUUCGGGGUACACGAGUGGCGAACGGGUGAGUAACACGUGGGUGAUCUGCCCUGCACUUCGGGAUAAGCCUGGGAAACUGGGUCUAAUACCGGAUAGGACCACUGCCUGCAUGGGUGGUGGUGGAAAGCUUUUGCGGUGUGGGAUGGGCCCGCGGCCUAUCAGCUCGUUGGUGGGGUGAUGGCCUACCAAGGCGACGACGAGUAGCCGGCCUGAGAGGGUGACCGGCCACACUGGGACUGAGAUACGGCCCAGACUCCUACGGGAGGCAGCAGUGGGGAAUAUUGCACAAUGGGCGCAAGCCUGAUGCAGCGACGCCGCGUGAGGGUCGACGGCCUUCGGGUUGUAAACCUCUUUCAGCACCGACGAAGCGCAAGUGACGGUAGGUGCAGAAGAAGGACCGGCCAACUACGUGCCAGCAGCCGCAGUAA